rnacentral:RNase_P_RNA from 1 species
AGAGUUGGCUGGAUGAUCGCCGCUUGCACACGCAAGGGGAGGAAAGUCCGGGCUUCGUAGGGCAAAGUGCUAGGUAACGCCUAGGCGGCGUGAGCCGACGGAAAGUGCAACAGAGAGCUGAACCGCCGAUGUACGGGUAACCGUGCAGGUAAGGGUGAAAAGGUGCGGUAAGAGCGCACCGCGCACUGGGCAACCAGUUGCGGCAGGGUAAACCCCACUUGAAGCAAGACCAAAUAGGCAUCCAUUGGCGUGGCCCGCGCUGGAUGCGGGUAGGUUGCUGGAGCGUACAGGUGACUGUGCGCCUAGAGGAAUGAUCGUCCUUGACAGAACCCGGCUUAUAGGCCAACUCUCACU